CUACGGGUCGCAGCAGUGAGGAAUAUUGCACAAUGGGGGGAACCCUGAUGCAGCAACGCCGCGUGGAGGAUGACGCAUUUCGGUGUGUAAACUCCUUUUAUAUGUCAAGAAAAUGACGGUAGCAUAUGAAUAAGCACCGGCUAACUCCGUGCCAGCGGCCGCGGUAAUACGGAGGGUGCAAGCGUUACUCGGAAUCACUGGGCGUAAAGGACGCGUAGGCGGGUUGGAAAGUCAGGUGUGAAAUCCUACAGCUUAACUGUAGAACUGCACUUGAAACUUCUAAUCUAGAGUAUGGGAGGGGGAGGUGGAAUUAGUGGUGUAGGGGUAAAAUCCGUAGAUAUCACUAGGAAUACCUAAAGCGAAGGCGAUCUCCUGGAACAUUACUGACGCUAAGGCGUGAAAGCGUGGGGAGCAAACAGGAUUAGAUACCCCCGUAGUC
rnacentral:rRNA from 1 species